rnacentral:rRNA from 1 species
UACGUAGGGUCCAAGCGUUAUCCGGAAUCACUGGGCGUAAAGCGUGCGUAGGUGGUUUGUUAAGUGUGGUGUUAAAUCGUGGGGCUCAACCCUAUCGAUGCAUCGCAUACUGGCAGACUAGAGGACAGCAGAGGCAAGUGGAAUUUGUAGUGUAGCAGUGAAAUGCGUAGAUAUUACAAGGAACACCAAUGGCGAAGGCAGCUUGCUGGGCUAUUCCUGACACUGAGGUACGAAAGCGUGGGGAGCGAACAGG